rnacentral:rRNA from 1 species
CUUGGUCAUUUAGAGGAAGUAAAAGUCGUAACAAGGUCUCCGUUGGUGAACCAGAGGAGGGAUCAUUACAGAGUUGCAAAACUCCCUAAACCAUUGUGAACGUUACCUAAACCGUUGCUUCGGCGGGCGGCCCGGGUCCUUCCCGGCGCCCCUCGGCCCUCGCGGGCGCCCGCCGGAGGUAAACCAAACUAUUGCAUUGUAUGGCCUCUCUGAGUGUUCUGUACUGAAUAAGUCAAAACUUUCAACAACGGAUCUUUUGGUUCUGGCAUCGAUGAAGAACGCAGCGAAAUGCGAUAAGCAAUGUGAAUUGCAGAAUUCAGUGAAUCAUCGAAUCUUUGAACGCACAUUGCGCCCGCCAGUAUUCUGGCGGGCAUGCCUGUUCGAGCGUCAUUUCAACCAUCAAGCCCCGGGCUUGUGUUGGGGACCUGCGGCUGCCGCAGGCCCUGAAAUGCAGUGGCGGGCUCGCUGUCACUCCGAGCGUAGUAGUUACAUCUCGCUCUGGGCGUGCUGCGGGUUCCGGCCGUUAAAAGCCUUAUUUACCCAAGGUUGACCUCGGAUCAGGUAGUCUUACCCGCUGAACUUAAGCAUAUCAAUAAGCGGAGGA